GUCCCGGUCGUUUCUGAAAAAUCUGAAAAAACCUCGUUUUAACAACAGAGGUGUUGGGGCGAGGAUAUUUUGGCCUAAACGAAGCGUGGAUGAGAGAGACUACACUGGACAUGGUCACGUAUACGACGAUACAAUGCCAGUUAGAUUUACGACUCCAGGGUCAGGAGGA